rnacentral:tRNA from 2 species
GGGGCCGUAGGCUAGCUUGGUUAGACUGCGAGGCUUGGGCCCUCGUGACCCAGGUUCAAAUCCUGGCGGCCCCA